CUCAUCACACUAUCCCGAUCCGUCGCCAACCUCACAUGUCUCCACCAAUGUCGGCCGCCAACCGCCCGAGUGCCAAUCGAUCUCCCCUCUCCUGGUCGCGAACACCAGGUGCUCGCCGAAAGCCGAGCAUCCGAGUCUUCCAUUCGGUCAUGCCCUAGCUUUGAUCCACCGUCGUUGCCGUCCAUUUCCGCGAGACUAGCCGGCAAUGCAGUAACCAUUGCCAUUGCGGGAGGCGACACUGUCAGUUGUUGUGAGAGCCGUGGAGCCUCCGCUACCUCCGUCGUACUGUUUCCCUUUGCCAGAGUUGUACCACGGCUAUAGCUGCCAUCUUUUCCCUACUCUAGCCACCGCAUCCACAGCGGUCAGACAAAGGCGGAUGUCCAUGACCACCACAGUGGUAGCGACCCCUACUUUGAUCACUAUGGCGCUGUUGGUUGCUGACCAGUUUCAUUGCAGUAAGAAACCACUACUGGUUGCAGUUGCCGCUGCCAGCAUCGAUUCACCAUCAUUUGCUGUCACUGUCGGAGAGGAUGAAAGAUUUGGCGGAGUUGGAAGUUUUAAUCUACUGUGACCCAGCCAAAAAUUGAAUGUCAAAGGGUAAUUAAGUAGAUGCUUGAUUAGAGAAGGAAGUUGUUUCUGGAUUUAGAUCGGAUACCUUAAGUUGGGAUCAAGAAGCCAAGGGAUUGAAGCUAACCUAUGUCUCUGAUUCGAGAUAAGCAUUUCGACGUGGGGAUUGUUUAGCUCGAUAUAUAAUUAAGGUAGCAGGUAGGUAGAUGAUAUAUGUAUAGAGUUGCUUGGAGGAUCUUGUCUGCCAGUCUCACGUCGCAUCGAGAGUUUGGUUUCUACUGUUGCUUUUACUCAUAUUUUGAUUUUCUGAACAUGUUCAUGUAAUAAUUACAUUGAGUAUAGAUUUUUGUCUUGUGUUGGUCUUUUAUUCGGUUUGAUGGUUGUUGUGUCAAAUCAAGCCAGCUCAUAGUCUAUUGUUUUGUUCAUAUAGUUUACCUUAUGUCUUCUAUUGUAUUUUUCUCCCAACUAUGUGGGCUGCUAUUUAUUUUGCGUGGUUGUUGUUUCUUCCAACCGUGUGGGUUGAUAUUAUUAU